rnacentral:rRNA from 1 species
UGCAGUCGAACGAUGAUCCAGCUUGCUGGGGGAUUAGUGGCGAACGGGUGAGUAACACGUGAGUAACCUGCCCUUAACUCUGGGAUAAGCCUGGGAAACUGGGUCUAAUACCGGAUAUGACUCCUCAUCGCAUGGUGGGGGGUGGAAAGCUUUAUUGUGGUUUUGGAUGGACUCGCGGCCUAUCAGCUUGUUGGUGAGGUAAUGGCUCACCAAGGCGACGACGGGUAGCCGGCCUGAGAGGGUGACCGGCCACACUGGGACUGAGACACGGCCCAGACUCCUACGGGAGGCAGCAGUGGGGAAUAUUGCACAAUGGGCGAAAGCCUGAUGCAGCGACGCCGCGUGAGGGAUGACGGCCUUCGGGUUGUAAACCUCUUUCAGUAGGGAAGAAGCGAAAGUGACGGUACCUGCAGAAGAAGCGCCGGCUAACUACGUGCCAGCAGCCGCGGUAAUACGUAGGGCGCAAGCGUUAUCCGGAAUUAUUGGGCGUAAAGAGCUCGUAGGCGGUUUGUCGCGUCUGCCGUGAAAGUCCGGGGCUCAACUCCGGAUCUGCGGUGGGUACGGGCAGACUAGAGUGAUGUAGGGGAGACUGGAAUUCCUGGUGUAGCGGUGAAAUGCGCAGAUAUCAGGAGGAACACCGAUGGCGAAGGCAGGUCUCUGGGCAUUAACUGACGCUGAGGAGCGAAAGCAUGGGGAGCGAACAGGAUUAGAUACCCUGGUAGUCCAUGCCGUAAACGUUGGGCACUAGGUGUGGGGGACAUUCCACGUUUUCCGCGCCGUAGCUAACGCAUUAAGUGCCCCGCCUGGGGAGUACGGCCGCAAGGCU